rnacentral:tRNA from 1 species
UCCUUUGUAGCUCAGUUGGUAGAGCAUGGCACUUGUAAUGCCAGGGUAAUGGAC